AAAUCUUAUCUUCUUCCGGCCAGACUCCCACACGCUCUCUCAUCUCCCCACGCUCAUACCUGCAGCCAUCAGCGCCGCCCGGUCCCUCGCUACCCCGGGGGCCCCCAUGGCGUGACUGGCGGCGCGGGCUGCUGCUACCUCCACGGCCAGUGGCACAUCCGGGCGCAGGGCAGCGGAGCUCGCGCGGCGGCCAGGGGCAGAGCUCCCCGCGCCUAGGGGCGGAUCUCGGCGGCGGCACGGCCGGCCGCGAGCCGCGGCUUCCCCCGUGCCGGCUGACGGAGGAGCUCCGGGCGGUGUUCAUGGUGGGCAGGCUGGUUUUGGUGCACACUAUGUUGCGAUGGACUACUGAAACGUUCGAUGGGAAAUGUUCCCAUCGGACGUCUGGGCGCUAGCAAUUUCUUUCUUAGCGGGCAUAAGAGGAUGUCAACUGUGGGCUAGUGGCUAUGUCUCCUGAUGGGUCAAAAGUCAAAAAUCAUAUCUCCGGAACGCAUGGACGAGCGCGCAGCAGCGGUCAAGCGUUGAACCAAUCAAGCUGCCGUUGCUAUUCCGGACCAAGACUUCACGCAGGAGUCACCCAUUGCUUGUUAGCACUUAGCAGCAAUUCCUCUCCGUCGCCCUGCAGCCGAUUAGUGCUCAUCUGCUCGAUGACACACAUCUCCAAACAGAUAAUUACAUGGCGAUAAUAUAGUUUACUUGAAAAGACAUGCUAUUAUCACACUAAUCAAGUGUCACACUUGAAAAGGGAGGCUACGUGCGACAUCGAUGAUUCUUCGGAGAACAUGCCCCAAGGUGGAUGCAGCAAAAUUCUCUCUCUAUUUGAGGGAAGUUGGAGUAAAAUUGUUGUGAAACAUUACAUUAGUGAUCAAUUACUGUUAUUAAUCACCAAAGGGCUCCUCCGAAGGGCCAACUCCAAAGGACAUCACAAUUGUAUAUAUAUGUAAACAAUCCUAUCAAUGAGAAUCACUUGAGACU